rnacentral:tRNA from 1 species
UGCCCCAUAGCUCAACUGGUAGAGCGCUGGACUCAUAAUCCAGAGGUCCCAGGUUCGACUCCUGGUGGGGCAC